CACAAGCGGUGGAGCAUGUGGUUUAAUUCGAUGAUACGCGAAAACCUUACCCGGGCUUGACAUGCAUCAGACAGGCGUAGAGAUACGCCCUCCGCGAGGCUGGUGCACAGGUGCUGCAUGGUUGUCGUCAGCUCGUGUCGUGAGAUGUUGGGUUAAGUCCCGCAACGAGCGCAACCCUUGUCAUUAGUUGCCAUCAUUUGGUUGGGCACUCUAAUGAGACUGCCGGUGACAAACCGGAGGAAGGUGGGGAUGACGUCAAGUCCUCAUGGCCCUUAUGGGUAGGGCUUCACACGUCAUACAAUGGUCGGUACAGAGGGUUGCCAACCCGCGAGGGGGAGCUAAUCCCACAAAGCCGAUCGUAGUCCGGAUCGCAGUCUGCAACUCGACUGCGUGAAGUCGGAAUCGCUAGUAAUCGUGGAUCAGCAUGUCACGGUGAAUACGUUCCCGGGUCUU
rnacentral:rRNA from 1 species